CGGGGCGUAGCUCAGUUGGAUUAGAGCGCACGGCUUGGGACCGUGAGGACGGAGGUUCAAAUCCUCUCGCCCCGACCA
rnacentral:tRNA from 1 species